rnacentral:piRNA from 1 species
UAAAUUGUUAGAGCCAGCUUUCAACACAUC